GAUGAACGCUGGCGGCGUGCCUAAUACAUGCAAGUAGAACGCUGAAGCUUGGUGCUUGCACCGAGCGGAUGAGUUGCGAACGGGUGAGUAACGAGUAGGUAACCUGCCUCUUAGCGGGGGAUAACUAUUGGAAACGAUAGCUAAUACCGCAUAACAGUCGAUAUCGCAUGAUAUUGAUUUGAAAGGUGCAAAUGCAUCACUAAGAGCUGGACCUGCGUUGUAUUAGCUAGUUGGUGAGGUAACGGCUCACCAAGGCGACGAUACAUAGCCCACCUGAGAGGGGGAUCGGCCACACUGGGACUGAGACACGGCCCAGACGCCUACGGGAGGCAGCAGUAGGGAAUCUUCGGCAAUGGGGGCAACCCUGACCGAGCAACGCCGCGGGAGUGAAGAAGGUUUUCGGAUCGUAAAGCUCGGUUGUAAGAGAAGAACGAGUGUGAGAGUGGAAAGUUCACACUGUGACGGUAACUUACCAGAAAGGGACGGCUAACUACGUG
rnacentral:rRNA from 1 species